rnacentral:rRNA from 1 species
GACGAACGCUGGCGGCGUGCUUAACACAUGCAAGUCGAACGGAAAGGCCCUGCUUUUGUGGGGUGCUCGAUUGGCGAACGGGUGAGUAACACGUGAGUAACCUGCCCUUGACUUUGGGAUAACUUCAGGAAACUGGGGCUAAUACCGGAUAGGAGCUCUUGCUGCAUGGGGGUGAUUGGAAAGUUUCGGCGGUUGUGGCUGUUCUCGAAGCUUAUCGGCUUGUUGGUGUGGUAGUGGCUUACCAAGGCUUAGACGGAUAGCCUGCCUGAGAGGGUGACCGGCCACAUUGGGACUGAGAUAGGGCGCAGAAGCCUACGGGAGGCAGUGGUGGAAAAUAUUGCAGAGUGGGCGGAAGCGAGAUACAAAGACGCCGCGUGCGGGAAGACGGCCUUCGGGUUGUAAACCACUUUCGCCUGUGACGAAGCGUGAGUGACGGUAAUGGGUAAAGAAGCAACGGCUAACUACGUG